UGGGGAAUUUUGGACAAUGGGGGAAACCCUGAUCCAGCCAUCCCGCGUGUGCGAUGAAGGCCUUCGGGUUGUAAAGCACUUUUGGCAGGAAAGAAACGUCGCGGGUUAAUACCCCGCGAAACUGACGGUACCUGCAGAAUAAGCACCGGCUAACUACGUGCCAGCAGCCGCGGUAAUACGUAGGGUGCAAGCGUUAAUCGGAAUUACUGGGCGUAAAGCGUGCGCAGGCGGUUCGGAAAGAAAGAUGUGAAAUCCCAGAGCUUAACUUUGGAACUGCAUUUUUAACUACCGGGCUAGAGUGUGUCAGAGGGAGGUGGAAUUCCGCGUGUAGCAGUGAAAUGCGUAGAUAUGCGGAGGAACACCGAUGGCGAAGGCAGCCUCCUGGGAUAACACUGACGCUCAUGCACGAAAGCGUGGGGAGCAAACAGGAUUAGAUACCCUGGUAGUCCACG
rnacentral:rRNA from 1 species